UACGAAGGGUGCAAGCGUUACUCGGAAUUACUGGGCGUAAAGCGUGCGUAGGUGGUUCGUUAAGUCUGUCGUGAAAGCCCCGGGCUCAACCUGGGAAUGGCGAUGGAUACUGGCGGGCUAGAGUGCGGUAGAGGGUGGUGGAAUUCCCGGUGUAGCAGUGAAAUGCGUAGAGAUCGGGAGGAACAUCAGUUGCGAAGGCGACCCCCUGGUUGGAUACUGACGCUGAGACGCGAAAGCGUGGGGAGCAAACAGG
rnacentral:rRNA from 1 species